rnacentral:rRNA from 1 species
AUUGAACGCUGGCGGCAUGCCUUACACAUGCAAGUCGAGCGAGCGGCGGACGGGUGAGUAAUGUAUCGGGAUCUGCCUGCUGGCGGGGGAUAACUACUGGAAACGGUCGCUAAUACCGCAUACCAUCAGAUGAACCCAUAUGGGAUUGGCUAGUAGGUGGGGUAACGGCUCACCUAGGCGACGAUCCCUAGCUGGUCUGAGAGGAUGAGCAGAAAAACUGGGACUGAGACACGGGCCAGACUCGUACGGGAGGCAGCAGUGGGGAAGAUUGGAAAAGGGGGGAAAGCCUGAUGCAGACAUGCGGCGUGUAUGAAGAAGGGCGUCGGGUGGUAAAGUACUUUAAGAGGGGAGGCGGUACCGAAAGAAGAAGCACCGGCUAAAUACGUGCCAGCAGCCGCGGUAAUAC